GGCGGGGCACAAGGCGAGACCCAGCCCCCGACUCCCGGCGCAUCAAAACAAAACACCCGCCGUGUCGACGCAUGCGCGGGGGGGACGGGCGCCCGCGCCGAGGGCGGGGCUUAGCGCGCACCGGCCCGAGACCGCCCUUCCCCCAACGCUCCAGACCCGACCCCGGAGUCGAAACUCAGCCUUCGCCUCGGUUCCCGUUACUAUUCGUCCUAGCGGGUGACGGGGUUGGCAAGUUAACGUUCACUGCCGACUCACCCGGGACUCACGGUAACUAGCUUGGUCUCCAGCCUCUCCGAACUCUGUUGAGAAGUUACUAAAAUUAGCUCCAGUGUACAGCCGUGGGAACUGUUCCAUGGACUUCCCUCCGGUUGCACGGGGUUCGAAUGAGACCCGAACAGUAGCCUACGAAGUCUUCAGGGGGAACCCCGAACGGGGCCCGAGUUCUCCCUCAGACCUACCGUUCUUCUCUCCGAGAAGUGCCUCCUGUCUCCUUCGCACGCCCGGAAAUCGGGGUUCUGAAAACUGCUCAAAUGGUGUCCAGCAAGAACCCCGGAGCCCGCGGCGGCCCGUUACCACAUUCCACCAGUCAGGCCUCACCUUCGAGCGCCCAAACAUUGGCGGGCUGCACUGGGCGCACUCGCGCCAAACCGCCGGCCCGGGCGCCCGGCAGGUCCCACCCGCCGCCGGCCCGGGCAGCGGCUCGCUCGGCCAGCACCUGUUGCCCGGCCGGUCCCUCGGCGCGGCGACGCGUGCCACGGAAAUCGCCGCUUCCACCAGCGGGCUGCGGCGCGCCCCGGGGCGGACUGUCCAACGAGGGCUCAGUUAACAAGAUUUCAACAACCGCCACCGCUGUGUAAAACGGUGGGGUAUUCCCGCUCAGGUCGGAGACCUGUCUACACCGUGUGGACUAGGUGCGCGGGGAGAACGGUACUGCUUGGAUCCUCAGAUGCCUGUGAAACAGUUUUCAAAUAAACUUUUACACGCACGCGACGGCACAGUACUUUGCAUUAACACUGCACUGCAUCUGAAAGGGAAAUCGUCUAUUUCUUGAAGGUGCAGGCCCAGCAAUCGGGGUGACAAAGGGCAAUUCCUAACGCACUUUCUCGCUUAUUUCAUCCCCUCCCCGAAAGGCGGGCUGGGCCCCCGAUCGCCUAACUCCGCUCCCAACUCCGGGCGGAAGCGGCCGGCCGGCCUGCCGGGACACGCUCCGGGAAGCCAGGGGGCGGGCGCUCCUGCCCGGCUGCAAGAUGGCCGCCGCCGCCCGGCAGCCGCCGCCCGGGAGGUCGCCCUAGGAGCCGCAGCCUUCGCCCGAGCCCGCGGGCCGCCGCCAGCCUGCUCACCAUGACGCCUGUGAGUCGCCGCACGCUGGAUCGGAUUUACUCAGCGGUAGGUCGCGGGUCUGGCGCAGCUCCACGCCGUCGACUCCCCGGGCCCGCGGGCGGAGGGGCCCCUGGAUCUUCAGCGCCCAGAAACUCCAAAGCCCAUUUCUGCAUUAAGCGUUUCACGCCCUCGCCCGGGCCCGCCUCUUCCGCCGCUGACGUGAAGGCUGCCGGCUGCUGCUGGCGAUCGUUUUACUCUCCUGGGGAUACGUCAUCUAUGCAUCCACCGUGGCCGCGCGGCGACAGUUAAGGAAGCAAUACCCGAAAUUCUGGGAUGAAUGAAGACUUGUAAUUCUACUGAAUUUAGUUCUUUGCAAACACAGUUCUUUCCCUUAUGCUUAUCCGACACCUUUGUAGAUUUACAAAAUAAAAUUCAUACUGCAAAGUG